UACGGGGGGGUGAAGCGUGUUCGGAAUGAUUGGGCGUAAAGCGUCCGCAGGUGGCAGUUCAAGUCUGCUGUCAAAGACCGGGGCUUAACUUCGGAAAGGCAGUGGAAACUGAACAGCUAGAGUAUGGUAGGGGCAGAGGGAAUUCCUGGUGUAGCGGUGAAAUGCGUAGAGAUCAGGAAGAACAUCGGUGGCGAAGGCGCUCUGCUGGACCAUAACUGACACUCAGGGACGAAAGCUAGGGGAGCGAAUGGG
rnacentral:rRNA from 1 species